rnacentral:rRNA from 1 species
GAUGAACGCUGGCGGCGCGCCUAACACAUGCAAGUCGAACGGCACCCCUCCUCGGAGGGAAGCGAGUGGCGAACGGCUGAGUAACACGUGGAGAACCUGCCCCCUCCCCCGGGAUAGCCGCCCGAAAGGACGGGUAAUACCGGAUACCCCGGGGUGCCGCAUGGCACCCCGGCUAAAGCCCCGACGGGAGGGGAUGGCCCCGCGGCCCAUCAGGUAGACGGCGGGGUGACGGCCCACCGUGCCGACAACGGGUAGCCGGGUUGAGAGACCGACCGGCCAGAUUGGGACUGAGACACGGCCCAGACUCCUACGGGAGGCAGCAGUGGGGAAUCUUGCGCAAUGGGGGGAACCCUGACGCAGCGACGCCGCGUGCGGGACGGAGGCCUUCGGGUCGUAAACCGCUUUCAGCAGGGAAGAGUCAAGACUGUACCUGCAGAAGAAGCCCCGGCUAACUACGUG